rnacentral:rRNA from 1 species
AGCGUUAUCCGGAUUUAUUGGGUUUAAAGGGUGCGUAGGCGGCUUAUUAAGUCAGGGGUGAAAGACGGUGGCUCAACCAUCGCAGUGCCUUUGAUACUGAUGAGCUUGAAUGUACUAGAGGUAGGCGGAAUGUGACAAGUAGCGGUGAAAUGCAUAGAUAUGUCACAGAACACCGAUUGCGAAGGCAGCUUACUAUGGUAUUAUUGACGCUGAGGCACGAAAGCGUGGGGAUCAAACAGGAUUAGAUACCCUGGUAGUCCACGCCCUAAACGAUGAAUACUCGCUGUUAGCGAUAUACAGUUAGCGGCUAAGCGAAAGCGUUAAGUAUUCCACCUGGGGAGUACGCUCGCAAGAGUGAAACUCAAAGGAA